rnacentral:rRNA from 1 species
AACGAACGCUGGCGGCAUGCCUAACACAUGCAAGUCGAACGAGACCUUCGGGUCUAGUGGCGCACGGGUGCGUAACGCGUGGGAACCUGCCCUUAGGUUCGGAAUAACUCCCCGAAAGGGGUGCUAAUACCGGAUAAUGUCUUCGGACCAAAGAUUUAUCGCCUUUGGAUGGGCCCGCGUUGGAUUAGCUAGUUGGUAGGGUAAAAGCCUACCAAGGCGACGAUCCAUAGCUGGUCUGAAAGGAUGAUCAGCCACACUGGGACUGAGACACGGCCCAGACUCCUACGGGAGGCAGCAGUGGGGAAUAUUGGACAAUGGGCGAAAGCCUGAUCCAGCAAUGCCGCGUGAGUGAUGAAGGCCUUAGGGUUGUAAAGCUCUUUUACCCGGGAUGAUAAUGACAGUACCGGGGGAAUAAGCUCCGGCUAACUCCGUG